CCCUUAGACGUUCUGGGCCGCACGCGCGCUACACUGACGAAGGCAACGAGCUACUCUUCACCGAAAGGUGUGGGUAAUCUUUUGAAACUUCGUCGUGCUGGGGAUAGAUCCUUGCAAUUUUUGAUCUUAAACGAGGAAUUCCUAGUAAGCGCAAGUCAUCAACUUGCGUUGAUUACGUCCCUGCCCUUUGUACACACCGCCCGUCGCUACUACCGAUUGAAUGGUUUAGUGAGGCCUUCGGAUCCGCGAUUUUAUUGUGGAGAAGUUGGACAAACUCAGUCAUUUAGAGGAAGUAAAAGGCGUAACA
rnacentral:rRNA from 1 species